rnacentral:rRNA from 1 species
UCUGAUGUUAGCGGCGGACGGGUGAGUAACACGUGGAUAACCUACCUAUAAGACUGGGAUAACUUCGGGAAACCGGAGCUAAUACCGGAUAAUAUUUUGAACCGCAUGGUUCAAAAGUGAAAGACGGUCUUGCUGUCACUUAUAGAUGGAUCCGCGCUGCAUUAGCUAGUUGGUAAGGUAACGGCUUACCAAGGCAACGAUGCAUAGCCGACCUGAGAGGGUGAUCGGCCACACUGGAACUGAGACACGGUCCAGACUCCUACGGGAGGCAGCAGUAGGGAAUCUUCCGCAAUGGGCGAAAGCCUGACGGAGCAACGCCGCGUGAGUGAUGAAGGUCUUCGGAUCGUAAAACUCUGUUAUUAGGGAAGAACAUAUGUGUAAGUAACUGUGCACAUCUUGACGGUACCUAAUCAGAAAGCCACGGCUAACUACGUGCCAGCAGCCGCGGUAAUACGUAGGUGGCAAGCGUUAUCCGGAAUUAUUGGGCGUAAAGCGCGCGUAGGCGGUUUUUUAAGUCUGAUGUGAAAGCCCACGGCUCAACCGUGGAGGGUCAUUGGAAACUGGAAAACUUGAGUGCAGAAGAGGAAAGUGGAAUUCCAUGUGUAGCGGUGAAAUGCGCAGAGAUAUGGAGGAACACCAGUGGCGAAGGCGACUUUCUGGUCUGUAACUGACGCUGAUGUGCGAAAGCGUGGGGAUCAAACAGGAUUAGAUACCCUGGUAGUCCACGCCGUAAACGAUGAGUGCUAAGUGUUAGGGGGUUUCCGCCCCUUAGUGCUGCAGCUAACGCAUUAAGCACUCCGCCUGGGGAGUACGACCGCAAGGUUGAAACUCAAAGGAAUUGACGGGGACCCGCACAAGCGGUGGAGCAUGUGGUUUAAUUCGAAGCAACGCGAAGAACCUUACCAAAUCUUGACAUCCUUUGACAACUCUAGAGAUAGAGCCUUCCCCUUCGGGGNUUAGAUACCCUGGUAGUCCACGCCGUAAACGAUGAGUGCUAAGUGUUAGGGGGUUUCCGCCCCUUAGUGCUGCAGCUAACGCAUUAAGCACUCCGCCUGGGGAGUACGACCGCAAGGUUGAAACUCAAAGGAAUUGACGGGGACCCGCACAAGCGGUGGAGCAUGUGGUUUAAUUCGAAGCAACGCGAAGAACCUUACCAAAUCUUGACAUCCUUUGACAACUCUAGAGAUAGAGCCUUCCCCUUCGGGGGACAAAGUGACAGGUGGUGCAUGGUUGUCGUCAGCUCGUGUCGUGAGAUGUUGGGUUAAGUCCCGCAACGAGCGCAACCCUUAAGCUUAGUUGCCAUCAUUAAGUUGGGCACUCUAAGUUGACUGCCGGUGACAAACCGGAGGAAGGUGGGGAUGACGUCAAAUCAUCAUGCCCCUUAUGAUUUGGGCUACACACGUGCUACAAUGGACAAUACAAAGGGCAGCGAAACCGUGAGGUCAAGCAAAUCCCAUAAAGUUUUUCUCAGUUCGGAUUGUAGUCUGCAACUCGACUACAUGAAGCUGGAAUCGCUAGUAAUCGUAGAUCAGCAUGCUACGGUGAAUACGUUCCCGGGUCUUGUACACACCGCCCGUCACACCACGAGAGUUUGUAACACCCGAAGCCGGUGGAGUAACCUUUUAGGAGCUAGCCGUCGAAGGUGGGACAAAUGAUUGGGGUGAAGUCGUAACAAGGUAGCCGUAUCGGAAGGUGCGGCUGGAUCACCU